ACAGCAGUAGCCGCGGUAAUACGAAGGGGGCUAGCGUUGCUCGGAAUGACUGGGCGUAAAGGGCGCGUAGGCGGAUGGCACAGUCAGAUGUGAAAUUCCUGGGCUUAACCUGGGGGCUGCAUUUGAGACGUGUUGUCUAGAGUGUGAAAGAGGGUCGUGGAAUUCCCAGUGUAGAGGUGAAAUUCGUAGAUAUUGGGAAGAACACCGGUGGCGAAGGCGGCGACCUGGUUCAUAACUGACGCUGAGGCGCGAAAGCGUGGGGAGCAAACAGGAUUAGAUACCCCGGUAGUCCCUGUCUCUUAUAC
rnacentral:rRNA from 1 species